CUCAGGGAGAUCAGGAUGGAGGAUUUUGACCCGCAUCUGCCUGGAGCUUGCCUCCAGCUUUACUCCUCAACACCUUAGCUUGGAAGAACACCCCGACAAUGGGAGACUUCACUUCAGAGCAUGGCCUCUUCUUGCAGUGCUCACCCACCAGAAUGGUGAUCCCACCAAAUAACAGCUGCUCGCCGAAUACGGCUGCUCCUGGUUCCAUAUUCGCAAAGAUAGCGACAGACAGAGAAAGAAAGAGCCAUAUAUAUAGAGAGAAUGGACACACCAGGCC